GUGCUUGCUUUGGCAGCACAUAUACUAAAGUUGGAACAAAACAGAGAAGAUUAGCAUGGCCCUUGAGCAAUAUGACAUGCAAAUUCAUGAAGUGCUCCCUUAUUUU
rfam:Tupaia chinensis contig71075, whole genome shotgun sequence.